AAUGUCGUAAAAAUAUGUGUCGUAGUGAAGUCAAAACAGACGAAACAAAAUGGCUAACAGAAGUGGCAAAUUUUGAUAAUAUAACAAAGAUAUACUAGUAGUUGUAUUCCACAAGCGGCCAUCGUUACAUGCUCAAGACGAUUAUUGUGUAUUUAUACGUUAUUAUAUGGAGGGACAGUCCGCAGUUCUAUGGGCAAUGGUUCGAGUAUGUUGAAGUCAAAGAGGACCAAGCCUAGAGUAGUGCUUGAGUCCCCGCAAGGUUCGAAAACAGACACUUCGCAGCCUAGAGUGACGUUCGCCAAUAAACGGACCGGUAUGAAUUUAAUCAAGGCACGUCCUCAAAUGACUGAUAUUGGAACAAUGCAUUCUGACUUGUUAAAGGGAGGACGGGUUCGAUUUCAGCGUAGCCAGUCAAAUAGACUAGGUUCGAAUAUCACCAUGAACGAUUCGUUUACUUCCAUUAGAUCAACGGCAUCUGGUCCGGUGGAUGGGGUAUGGGAGCCCAUGUUAGAUCCAUACGAACGGACAAACGAUACAAACAUGGCACGUGCAAAUAGGAUUACACAAAAUGGUGACGUUAAUUUAAACGAAAAUAGUUACUCUAGGUACAUUGGAUUUAAUGAAAGAGAUUAUAGUUAUGGAACUAGGGUUGAAAAUGGUUUGGCAAAAGUUGAAGAAAUAUGAGUCGUGUUUUACACUUACAUCUUCCUGAAAUUAUCUUGUUUUCAUGCAUCAUAUCAUUAUCUCGUUAUAAACAGAUGUAGAAUAUAUUUAGUAAAUGCAUAAAAAAAAAAACUGUGAGCUAUUAGUUUUUUUUCAUC
rnacentral:lncRNA from 1 species